rnacentral:piRNA from 1 species
CUCUACCAGUCGGAAGGUUGUGC